GGGGAUGCAAGGCAUUGAUAAUAAAAUUCUUAAGAAGCAUUCAGAACGUGCGUUUCAGUUGUCACGUUAAUCGCGCUGAAAAAAUAUAAGUGUCAAAAACUUAUUUAGCAAAGUUGCGACUGCUUUUAGCAUUCCAACUUUCGCUCCUGUUGUCGCUUAAUAGCACAACCAUUUGCCCAGUGAUUUCUAAUAGCUGAUAAGCAAGUGUAAUUUAUUAGAAUAAGCUAGUUAAUUGUUCUGGUUAAUUAGUUAAAAAUUUUUAGAACUAGCUGUUAGCACUUUUGUUUGGUUUUGAUGUUAACAGUGAAAAUUUAAAUCAGACUAAUUCUGUAAAUGUGUUUUUCAAGAUUUAUUAGACGUGGGUUCAACUCCCACCAUCUCCACCU
rnacentral:tmRNA from 1 species